GGUCGUCAGACUUGACGCAAAGCUCCAACAGCAGGAGUAAACCCUGAAAGACCAUACAGAAGCAAAAGGGUCAAGGUACAAGGAGAAGAUGCAGGCAGCUGCAACAACGGAUGAAAACAGACCCAAAGAGGAGGGGAGGACCCUAGGCCAUGCGUCAGGCCGCUGGUUUACCUAAACUACAGAACAGGAAGAGCGCCACGUCAUUGUGAUGGAGAUUUAAUAAAGGAGGAACACACGGACAAAGAAGAAGAGAAGGGGGGGCAGCCCUUGAACGCGAUUGCCUGAGGCAUUAAAGUUCUGUACUAAAUUCUGGUUCCCAGUGUGAGAAAAGUCACGCAGUGCCAGUAGUAGAGCUAGGUUGAGUGAUGAUUCUAAAUUACUGUAAGUAAAUCAUCGUACACCGUUCAAGUUUCAUGAUAACGGGGAUCUAGACUUUGUUGAACCCUAGGCAAUUUGAACAGGUAAAAGUCGAGUGACCAAGUAGCAG
ensembl:lncRNA